rnacentral:rRNA from 1 species
GGGUCAGUAGGUUGGUCGUGCCACCGGUACGUACUGGUCUCACUGAUUCCUCCUUCCUGAAGAACCGUAAUGCCAUUAAUUUGGUGUUGCGGGGAAACAGGACUGUUACUUUGAAAAAAUUAGAGUGUUUAAAGCAAGCUAUCGCUUGAAUACAUUAGCAUGGAAUAAUGAAAUAGGACGAUCGAUCCUAUUUUGUUGGUUUCUAGGAUUGACGUA